rnacentral:rRNA from 1 species
CCCUUAGAUGUUCUGGGCUGCACGCGCGCUACACUGAUGCGUUCAACGAGUCUACCUGGUCCGAAAGGAUCGGGAAAUCUUCUGAAAACGCAUCGUGAUGGGGAUAGAUGAUUGCAAUUGUUCGUCUUCAACGAGGAAUUCCUAGUAAGCGCGAGUCAUCAGCUCGUGCUGAUUACGUCCCUGCCCUUUGUACACACCGCCCGUCGCUCCUACCGAUUGGGUGAUCCGGUGAACUAUUUGGACUGGCGAGGGGCCUCGGCUUCCUUGCUGGAAAGCUUUGUGAACCUUAUCACCUAGAGGAAGGAGAANUCGUAACA